CACACUGUUCCUAAAAACCCUCGCUUUCUCAGUCACCGCUCGUCUGCUCGAGGGAUUCCGUCCGCUCAGCCUCUGUUUUUGUGAGAAAAUUAUUUGAUUUAGGGCUUUGUGGAGUGGCGAAAUGGCUACUGGUCCUGGACUUGAAUCUCUCGUGGACCAGACCAUAUCUGUGAUCACAAA